UUCACCACAUGUGUUCUUUCAUAUAUAUAUAUAUGUAUAUAUAUAUAUAUAUAUUUCACUCACCUCGGCAGUAAGGUAUUCCAAGAUUGCUGCACUGUAUACUGCCGCGGUAGCACCGACUCGACCGUGACUUGUGGUUCUGUUUUUCAAAUGCCUAUGAAUCCUACCAACAGGAAACUAAAAAGUAAAGCACAAUUAUGAUACAUCUUCUAUAGGCACAAAUGGUCCUAUAAUAAAAGACAAUAUUGGCCCAGUGACAAGGGUACGGCCACGAAACUUCACCAGUAAGCAGCUUGAACAUCGUAGAACGCGAUGGUGCAACUACGAGGCACGGAUGGCUAAAGGAUCCGGCGAAAACUUGCGGAUACUCACCAUUAUGCGACGAGAGCCUUUGCGGUUCACUACACGACAGACUUACGAGGAGCACAGACGACGCCGUCUAAGCGCGGUCCCGCCAAAUACGCUUGGCGCUGCCGGCGCGUCCCGCGGUCAUACCACGUGACUUCGAUACACCAAUUGAAAAUAGCUCAACAGAAGGCUGAUCGCCGCCUGCCGGAGAAACUGAUAACAGCUGAUAAGUUUUCUUGUAAGGGCAAAUGAAAUUCGAAUUAGAAAACAGUCUUGUAUGAA